AUUGAACGCUGGCGGCAUGCCUUACACAUGCAAGUCGAACGGCAGCACGGGAGCAAUCCUGGUGGCGAGUGGCGAACGGGUGAGUAAAGUAUCGGAACGUGCCCAGUCGUGGGGGAUAACGUAGCGAAAGUUACGCUAAUACCGCAUACGAUCUAUGGAUGAAAGCGGGGGAUCGCAAGACCUCGCGCGAUUGGAGCGGCCGAUAUCAGAUUAGGUAGUUGGUGGGGUAAAGGCCCACCAAGCCGACGAUCUGUAGCUGGUCUGAGAGGACGACCAGCCACACUGGGACUGAGACACGGCCCAGACUCCUACGGGAGGCAGCAGUGGGGAAUUUUGGACAAUGGGCGAAAGCCUGAUCCAGCCAUGCCGCGUGCAGGAUGAAGGCCUUCGGGUUGUAAACUGCUUUUGUACGGAACGAAAAGGACUGCCCUAAUACGGUGGUCCCAUGACGGUACCGUAAGAAUAAGCACCGGCUAACUACGUGCCAGCCGCCGCAGUAAUAC
rnacentral:rRNA from 1 species